rnacentral:rRNA from 1 species
AGAAUAAACGUUGGCGGUGCGCCUUAUGCAUGCAAGUCGAACGGGGUUACGGUUUUCGGAUUGUAACCUAGUGGCGAACGGCUGAGUAACACGUAAGUAACCUGCCUUGGAGUGGGAAAUAACCUGUCGAAAGACAGGCUAAUGUCCCAUGUUGUAACGAAGCAUAAGCCUUGUUACCAAAGCCUUCGGGUGCUCCGAGAAGGGCUUGCGUCCGAUUAGCUUGUUGGUGGGGUAACGGCCCACCAAGGCUAUGAUCGGUAGCUGGUCUGAGAGGAUGGUCAGCCAGAUGGGGACUGAGACACGGCCCCAACUCCUACGGGAGGCAGCAGCAAGGAAUCUUGGGCAAUGGGCGGAAGCUUGACCCAGCGACACCGCGUGAGGGAUGAAGGCCUUCGGGUUGUAAACCUCUUUUCUUGGGGAAGAAUUUUGACGGUACCCAAGGAAUAAGCCUCGGCCAACUACGUGCCAGCAGCCGCGGU